rnacentral:rRNA from 1 species
GAUGAACGCUGGCGGCGUGUCUAAUACAUGCAAGUCGAGCGAACAGAUGAGGAGCUUGCUCCUCUGACGUUAGCGGCGGACGGGUGAGUAACACGUGGAUAACCUACCUAUAAGACUGGGAUAACUUCGGGAAACCGGAGCUAAUACCGGAUAAUAUAUUGAACCGCAUGGUUCAAUAGUGAAAGACGGUUUUGCUGUCACUUAUAGAUGGAUCCGCGCCGCAUUAGCUAGUUGGUAAGGUAACGGCUUACCAAGGCAACGAUGCGUAGCCGACCUGAGAGGGUGAUCGGCCACACUGGAACUGAGACACGGUCCAGACUCCUACGGGAGGCAGCAGUAGGGAAUCUUCCGCAAUGGGCGAAAGCUUGACGGAGCAACGCCGCGUGAGUGAUGAAGGUCUUCGGAUCGUAAAACUCUGUUAUUAGGGAAGAACAAAUGUGUAAGUAACUAUGCACGUCUUGACGGUACCUAAUCAGAAAGCCACGGCUAACUACGUG